rnacentral:rRNA from 1 species
CCAAUAGCGUAUAUUAAAGUUGUUGCAGUUAAAAAGCUCGUAGUUGAAUUUCGGGGUUAGUAGGUUGGUCAUGCCUCUGGUAUGUACUGGUCCCACUGAUUCCUCCUUCCUGAUGAGCCGUAAUGCCAUUAAUUUGGUGUUGCGGGGAAUUUGGACUGUUACUUUGAAAAAAUUAGAGUGUUUAAAGCAAGCUAACGCUUGAAUACAUUAGCAUGGAAUAAUGAAAUAGGACGUUCGAUCCUAUUUUGUUGGUUUCUAGGAUUGACGUAAUGAUUAAUAGGGAUAGUUGGGGGCAUUAGUAUUCAAUUGUCAGAGGUGAAAUUCUUGGAUUUAUUGAAGACUAACUACUGCGAAAGCAUUUGCCAAGGAUGUUUUCAUUAAUCAAGAACGAAAGUUAGGGGAUCGAAGACGAUCAGAUACCGUCGUAGUCUUAACCAUAAACUAUGCCGACUAGGGAUCGGAUGAUGUUAAUUUUUUAAUGACUCAUUCGGCGCCUUACG